rnacentral:rRNA from 3 species
UACGUAGGGGCCGAGCGUUGUCCGGAGUUAUUGGGCGUAAAGCGCGCGCAGGCGGCCUCGCGCGCCCGACGUGAAAGCCCCCGGCUUAACCGGGGAGGGUCGUUGGGGACGGCGGGGCUUGAGGGCGGGAGAGGUCGGUGGAAUUCCCGGUGUAGUGGUGAAAUGCGUAGAGAUCGGGAGGAACACCUGUGGCGAAGGCGGCCGACUGGGCCGACCCUGACGCUGAGGCGCGAAGGCGUGGGGAGCGAACGGG